GUCCACUCCCAGCGUUUCUCCCCCCUCAAGAGUCCUUGGCCAGAGCCUCCCUUCUCUCGGUAACGGGGGCUCAGGCCAAGAGCCAUGUGAGUUCUGCAGUCCCUCCUGACAGGUCCACAGAAUCACAGUAACUUCUGCAGUGACUGCUUGCACACCCAGUGGUCACACCCACUGGGUGCUAAGGACACAUAACAGGAAGGAAGCCACAUGGACUCUAUGCUCAGAGGACUGGGCAAGAUAAGAAAGCUGCAGGUGGCUUGUGGAAGGAUAGAGGAAGACAGGGUGUGUUUGGUAAAGGUUGGGCCAACCUCAAUCUGAAUCUUGGUUCUCCUCCCUUUCUAGCUGUGUUUUUGGCAGUUUUCUCAACUGAACCAAUGACAGUAAUAGUACCUACUUCAUGGAGCUGGAAGGAUUAAAAUGAGAUCAGAUAUACAAAAAGCACCUAGUACGGUACCUGGCACAGAGCAGGCCCUCGAUGAGCCUUCCCUGGUGGCUCAGUGGUAAAUAAUCUGCCUGUGAUGCAGGAGACGUGGGUUCAAUCCCUGGGUUGAGAAGAUCCCCUGGAGGAGGGCAUGGCAACCCACUCCAGUAUUCUGGCCUGGAGAAUUCCAUGGACAGAGGAGCCUGGUGGGCUACAGUCCGUGGGGUCGCAAGAGUCAGACGCAACUUUGCGACUAAACGACAAUAGCCCCUGACAAUAGACAGCAACCACACUGCUUUGGAGUAGCGUUUUUUACUAUAGAUAAAACUAUGGCCUCCAUGUGCCCUCAGCGAAUGCAUGUGCUUGAGGUACUUAUUUGGAGGUGGGAUGCUGGGACUCUUCCUGCUCUGAAUAUAUAGAAGAUAGACCAUGUCUGUUUCUUCUUUUGAAAUCAAGAGAGCUCACAAAAGCAGAGCCGUGAGUGAGCUGCUGUAGCAAGGACUCUGAGGGGAGGGUGUUGGAAGGGAAACAGGCCCAGUUGCGGUGGUCAAGCCCUUGCAUUGUAAUGACCGAGCGGGGACCAAGUUCUUGGCCUUCACACGGUAGGAAGCUGGAAUCGGUCAUUUCUUUAAUUAAUCAAUUUGUUUUUGGCUGCCCUGGUCUUUGUUGCUGAGCACAGGCUCUCUAGCUGUGGUGGGCAGGCUUCUCAGGGCCAUGGCUUCUCUUGUUGCUGAGCACAGGCUCUCUAGCUGUGGUGGGCAGGCUUCUCAGGGCCGUGGCUUCUCUUGUUGCUGAGCACAGGCUCUCUAGCUGUGGUGGGCAGGCUUCUCAGGGC
ensembl:lncRNA